rnacentral:lncRNA from 1 species
UGUGAUUCCAUUUUCUGGAGAUGUUUGAGGUGGGGAUGGGGCCAACAGAGGCAGGGACAAGACGGGCUCCUUCACCCAGUGGAGGUGGUUCCUUCCUUCGCUCAGGCCUCGCUGACAGGUCUCUGAUUCUGUAGCCUGAUUUCAGGAACUUAUUCUUGGCUUUUGCUUUUCUCAGGGUAAUGAGCUUUCAGCCUAGCACUUGCUAACACUAACAAAUGAGGCCAAUUGCAGCUCGCUGUGGAUCACCUUUCAAUAGUGGGUUGACAAGGAGAACAAUGCAUUUGUUUGCGGCUGUCGAGUCUUCAGGGAGGAUCUGUCAUCUCCGAGGGUGGCCACUGACAGAUGAGAUACCUCAUCUGAAGAAAGAGAACAAGAGCUGUGGGCUGGAAAGACGGAAGCUCCAAUGUUUCCCUGGCCACCUCUGGUCCACUGUAGGGGAGGCUUUGCACAAGCCCCACCUGGAACCGGCAGAGCCUGGAUGGACACAGGUCUUGCUGUGAACUGCACUGGGCUUCAGGAAGAGGCCAUGCUGGGCAGAAACUCGAUGCUAAUUAAUGAGAUGCCUGGGCUCUGUAAUCAGAAGAUGAAGGGGAGCCAGUGAUCUCAGUAACACUAGGCAGUUGCUUGUGCAAAUGCCCAUUUUUCCAUACAGAGGACAGGGAGGUGCAAUAAAGGGCUCCUCUUGGUCCUGGGCUGACCCACCAGCAUGCUGAUGUCCUCUGGCCAGCUUGCCUGGAAGUAGCCUUCCCUGAUGACACUGCCUCUGUUCUCCAAAGCAAUACAUACAACUUUUUUAUUACUGUGACCAAAUGGAUUACUCCUUUCUGCACAAGAAUGUAUGUCAUUGUCAACAUCAAAAACUUCCCUGCUUUACCCUGACAGCACAUGCCUUAUUGAUCAGGUGCCUCUGAACAACUCACUUACACAAAGCACUUAAACCUGUAUGACUUCAAAAAGUAAGGUAAGACAAGCCACAUUGAGCAGUAUAGCACACACCUAAUAUGAUUAUUUCUCUUCUUCUUGGUGAUAAUAGAAUUAUGCAAAAACGGCCUUGACCCAGUAAGCAUUUGCUCUUCAGAAUCAAAUCUCUGCUCUCCCUUGACUUACAAUUCCCC